rnacentral:lncRNA from 1 species
GAAUAUUAAUAUCAUCUGCGACAUUGGCCUUACACUUAACCAUUAUACUUUUGUACACUAUAAAUUAUAUCCCCUAUCAAUACACACUAAUAAUGUCAUCAAACUCUCUUCACCAAUUCUAAAUCCAUGUAAAUUAUUAUAUAACCCAACAAUACGCACUAAUAAGCUUAUAUGGUAAAAGUUGUAAUUUAUAAAUAUGAGAGGUGAAUGAAUCUUGUUAGCACAUCAAAUAAAACACUCAAUCAACAAUUAUAAUAAUACCAAACAAAACCCAUGAUACCCAUGUCUCAUUACUGUUGGUGGACUACAGAGAUAGCCUGAGAAUGACUCACAAUGGGCUGACGGGAGCUGAGUGGGUUGUGAAUCUGCAGCCGCAGAUCCUUGCAGCCAAUGGAGAUCAAUCGCCGCAUGUCGUCACCUGAUAGUGCCGCCGUUGAUGGCCCUGAUGAGGUGUCUCGUGAGGGAGUGCAGGCGAGGGAGUGAAUGAUGAGGGAGAGGGAGCCAUGAGCCGUGAGGGUGAGUGAAGAGGGAGAGAGAGAGAGGGAGUCGUGAGCC